UACGUAGGGGGCAAGCGUUGUCCGGAAUCAUUGGGCGUAAAGAGCGUGUAGGCGGCUCGAUAAGUCCGCUCUGAAAGCCCGGGGCUCAACCCCGGGAGGCGGGCGGAUACUGUCGAGCUAGAGUCCGGAAGAGGCGAGUGGAAUUCCUGGUGGUAGCGGUGAAAUGCGCAGAUAUCAGGAGGAACACCAAUGGCGAAGGCAGCUCGCUGGGACGGUACUGACGCUGAGACGCGAAAGCGUGGGGAGCAAACAGG
rnacentral:rRNA from 1 species